rnacentral:tRNA from 1 species
UAACUUUUGGUGUAAGGCACAUUAAAUUUUGAAUUUAAAGGGAAUGUUUCAAAAUAUUAAAGUUAU